rnacentral:rRNA from 1 species
UGGCGGCGUGCUUAACACAUGCAAGUCGAACGGAAAGGCCCUGCUUUUGUGGGGUGCUCGAGUGGCGAACGGGUGAGUAACACGUGAGUAACCUGCCCUUGACUUUGGGAUAACUUCAGGAAACUGGGGCUAAUACCGGAUAGGAGCUCCUGCUGCAUGGUGGGGGUUGGAAAGUUUCGGCGGUUGGGGAUGGACUCGCGGCUUAUCAGCUUGUUGGUGGGGUAGUGGCUUACCAAGGCUUUGACGGGUAGCCGGCCUGAGAGGGUGACCGGCCACAUUGGGACUGAGAUACGGCCCAGACUCCUACGGGAGGCAGCAGUGGGGAAUAUUGCACAAUGGGCGGAAGCCUGAUGCAGCAACGCCGCGUGCGGGAUGACGGCCUUCGGGUUGUAAACCGCUUUCGCCUGUGACGAAGCGUGAGUGACGGUAAUGGGUAAAGAAGCACCGGCUAACUACGUGCCAGCAGCCGCGGUGAUACGUAGGGUGCGAGCGUUGUCCGGAUUUAUUGGGCGUAAAGGGCUCGUAGGUGGUUGAUCGCGUCGGAAGUGUAAUCUUGGGGCUUAACCCUGAGCGUGCUUUCGAUACGGGUUGACUUGA